rnacentral:rRNA from 2 species
UCUGGCCCCCAGGGCCCGAGUUGUAAUUUGCAGAGGAUGCUUUUGGCGCGGUGCCUUCCGAGUUCCCUGGAACGGGACGCCAUAGAGGGUGAGAGCCCCGUCUGGUCGGACGCCUAGCCCUGUGUAAAGCUCCUUCGACGAGUCGAGUAGUUUGGGAAUGCUGCUCUAAAUGGGAGGUAUAUGUCUUCUAAAGCUAAAUACCGGCCAGAGACCGAUAGCGCACAAGUAGAGUGAUCGAAAGAUGAAAAGCACUUUGAAAAGAGGGUUAAAUAGUACGUGAAAUUGUUGAAAGGGAAGCGCUUGUGACCAGACUUGGGCCCGGUGGAUCAUCCAGCGUUCUCGCUGGUGCACUCCGCCGGGUUCAGGCCAGCAUCAGUUCGCCGCGGGGGAAAAAGGCUUCGGGAACGUGGCUCCUACGGGAGUGUUAUAGCCCGUUGCAUAAUACCCUGGGGCGGACUGAGGUUCG